UAAAAUUAGUCUUUCUGUGGAUAACCACACAUCCCAGAAGAUCUUACUGUAUAUUGUGCCAUUCCUCUGCAUUCAUGCCAUGAUGGUUCUCACAUAUAUUAAGUGCCUCUCUAUGUUUGGUGCUAUUUUAAAUCUAUUAUUUUCCAUUUGUCCAUUUAUUUAUGCCUUUUUCAGUAUCCUUAAUUAUAAAAUAAUUUGAUGAUACAAAGGGGGAUUCACCUCACUUGGUAAUUCAGUAUUAUCUGCCCUAAUCUUCUCUCUCUUCUCCAUUUAAAUAUCAGAUUGGUUUUGUCAAAUUUCAUGAAAAUAUCUCUUGUAAUUUUGAUUAGUGCUGCAUUCAACACAUAGAUGAUAGUUCAGAAAUUGGAAUACAUUUCCUGUUGGUUUAAAUUCUACAUGACAUGACAUAUAUCUUCACUUAAUUCAAAUUUUUGAAAUGCUGUUCUCUAAAAUUUAAUAAUUUUCUGAAUUAAAGUCUAACUCAUCCUAUGAUAUUUGUUUCUGUAUUUUAUACUGUAUGUUACUCUUAAUUGCUCUCUCCUUUUGAAAAUAUAUAUUUCACUGUUGCUAGUAUAUGGAAAUAAGUUGACUUUUCAUAUUAUAUGAAACUCAGUUAAAUUAUUAAAUGAUAUGAUAAGUAAUGCAAUGCUUCUUUAGAUUCCUUUGCGUCUUCUGUAUUUGUCAUCUGUCUAUAAUCACUGACUUUCCCUUUUCUCAUUUCACACUUUGUCUUGUUUUGUUAGCUGGGAUUUCAGCACAAUGCUGAACAGAAAUGGUGGUGGCGUUCUUCUGCUCAUUUAUCAAUUACGUGUGACCAGGACAACUAGAAGUACAGGAUACGUGCUACUCACAAUGGGGUUUAAAAGGAUAAGAUUAGAUCCUGGGUAUUUCAAGGAACUAUUGGCAUCCCAGGAUGUUUGCAAAUCAUUCUCCCAGAUGCUACUGAACCUGGUUCAUCUCAGCUGACCAACAAGAAGCCAAAACGCUGAGGUGUGCAGCAGAGAAAAGAUUUGUCUCUAAGGCAGCCAAGCGAGGUGAUGCGAGAACAGAUCUCAGAUCCACCUCCCUGAAAGCAAGAGGCGCAGGGUAUGCAUGUGAUAAAGAAUAAAGAAGUAAAUCUGCCUUAGGUGUGGGGAGCGUGGAGAUCUUGAGGAGAGGUGAUUUGAAAAAGAUGUGGUAACUCUCAUCCUGCGCAGGCAUAACUGAGCUAGAAGCCCUGCAGAGUCAUAAGGGAAGACUCUGAGCAGGAUUCGAGGGUCGAGGUUUUGGUCCCCUGAUUUUGCACACCCAGGUCGAGGGUCCAUGGUUCUAACCAGUCUUAACAAGCUGACAUCCAACUAGACACAGCUUACUCUGGCUCCUCCCAGCUGGAUGUAGCUGACUCCAGGUUCCAGAAAAAUACCUCAAAGAAACAUGUUGUUUAGAUUUACUUGAAGCUUGGAGAACACGCAAGUCUUAAAAAGACCUUGAUUCGAGAAGGCAAGCGAAAUGGAUUUGACUAAUCGUUACCCAGGGUUCCACAGCCCGGACCUGAAGUAUGUCACUUGAGUUCCCUGAAGUAUCUGAGGACUUCCCACCUCAGGUGAGGGGAGGUCUCUGCUUGCUCUUUAAGCUCCAAAAGUGUUUUUACAGAAAGACCCACAUCCCCUCCUAGUGGCCAAAGUUCCAAAUGGUCUUUCCCCUUGGUCCUUCUCAGCCAUCUGGCUGUGGUAAUCCUCUCCAUGAGCCUAAUGAAGCCCAGCUCAUCUUUAGCAGGACGUUGUAAACAUGACUUGCUCUAAAGCACUGCUCUGUGAUUCUACCAGAUCUCCCUGUGUCACAGAGAGUAAUAAGUGGGUUCACACGAUACCCUGCCCGAGCCCGGCUAACAUGGCCAGAGACGCCAGAUCCCUUGAAAGAGUUUUCCCAUGAGUCUGAAACUGUAACAGAACCAUAGAGACAGAAGGUAAUGGUUGCUGAGGCUUUUUUGGCUUUUAGAAAGAAGACUUACGAGCUUCUGCUGCUUAGGAACAUAGGAGGAGGGUUUCUGUUCUUGGUAUUUUUGAUGAUACCAUCUGACAGGUGUGAUAUAACAUCUCAUUGCGGUUUUGAUUUGCCCCUGUGAUGACAGCAGUGUUGAGCAUCCUUCUCUGUGACCCUUGGCCAUCUGUAUGUCUUCUUUGGAAAAAUGUCUAUUAGCUCUCUUGCCCAUUUUGCAAUUGGUAUUUUUUGGAUAUUCAGUAAUAUUAGCUGCUUAUAUAUUUUGGAUAUUAACCCCUUAUCAGUCAUCACUUUGCAUACACUUUUCCCGCUGUGUGAGUUGGCUUUUCAUUUUGUGUAUGGUUUCCUUUGUUAUUAAAACCUCUCAAGCUUAACUAAGUCCCAUUUGUUUAUUUUUGCUUUUGUGUCCUUUGCCUGAGGCGACAGAUACAAAAAUAUUGCUGCAAUUUAUGCCAAAGGGUACCCUAAGUUUUCCUUUCAGCGUUUUAUGAUUUUUGGCCUUACAUGUAAGUCAUUAAUCUAUUUUGUGUCUAUUUUCAUAUAAGCUGUGAGAAACUGUUCUCACCUCUUUCUUUCACACGUGGCUGGCCAGUUUUCCCAGCACCACUUUUUGAAGAAAGUGUCUUUUGCCAAUUUUAUGUUCCUGCAUAUUUUGUCACAGAUUAAUCAACCAUAUUUGUGUGGGCUUACUUCUGGCCUCUCUGCUCUGUUCCAUCGACCUGUGCCUCGGUUUCUGGGCCAGUACCACGCUAUUUUGAUGAUUAUAUCUUUGUACAGCGGGCAGAAGUCGGGGAGCGUGGCACCUUCGGCUUUGGGCUUUUUCCUCAUGAUUGCUGUGGCUCUCCGGGGUCCUCUGUGGUUCCAUAUACAUCUUAGGAGUCUUUGUGCUGGUUUUGUGAAAAUGUCAUGGGUCUUAUGAUAGGGGUUGCUUGAAGUCUGUAGAUUGCUUUGGAUAAAAUAUACCUUUUAACAAUAUUACCUCUUGAACUGGCCCACGGGAGGAACAAGAAGUGAAUUCACAGACUUGAGCAGCACAGCUGGGACACCCGCAUUCCUUACUGCAGGCCACGAGCCUCCCUGUAAAACACGCUCCUUACUGUGCUUAAUGGACUGGUUUAUUUUCGUAAGCAAGGGGCAUCUUUUAACUCUAUCACUAUUGAAUUACUAAUAGUCUGUAUUAAAGAGUGACUAACAGUUGGUCACACAGGUAGUGAGGCUGGUGGUGUGACCCAGGUGUGGUGGCCGGUGACACUCUUUCUGGAGAAGGUAUUUUUCCAUAAGAUACUGAGGCUCAGACAUCAGCUGAGAAAUGUAAAGACUAAAUUGAAGUGGACUAACGUGAAGUCUUGGCAGAAAAUACUUUUAAUCAUUAAAUUCCUUAUGAGUAGUAAAAUACAUUCAGAAUGCAUUUCUUAAAGUAAAUUUAGGAAAAUAUCAACAAAAUAUGUGCAGGAUAUGUUCAAUUACAUCACAAGUCAAUGCUGAGAGAACUUAAAGACCUUGACAGAGCAGCAUGGGGCACAUUUCAGGGAGAGGGAAGUGUUCGGGGUCUGGAUUGUCAUGCUGGCUACAUGGGUAAAAGUAUUUGUCAAAAUCUAGUGAAACAUGAACUUAAAAUGGGUGUGUCCCAUUGCCCUUAUGUUAUACCUGAAGGAUGCUUUUCCCUUGUACAUUUCUGCUCUUCAGGAGGGAGGGGGUUGCAGAGCGCCCUCAGCUGCUCUGGCAGGGACAGCUGUGAGAAGCAGUCAUGAACCCAAAGGAGAGUCUCGGUCUGGAUCAUGAAUUGUGCGGGGCCAGGGGAUCAGGGUCCCCAGGAAAGAAAGUUCACCUGCCGAUCAUCGAGCUUCCCGAAGGUACAGCUUUGUGAGGGGAAAACCACACAGUUACAUUUCUCAGAGAGAUUGUUAGAAACCCAUCAGGCUCAUACCCUGUGUCUUUCCUCUGCCUGAUGCCCCGCACGCUGGGGCAUCUGAGCCCCUUUACCGCUUCCUCCCCCUUCCCUGGCUUUCUGUGCCAUCAGCUGUUCUAACAUCCCUUUCUGCUCACCCACAGUUGCCAUGUACCAGCUUCUCCUUCUGGUUAAUAUCUUUCAAGUUGGGUUUCUGUUACUCCUUUCCCACCUCAUACACCACUGGUUUCCUGAGCUGGGCCCAUGAUGAGUUUGUGUGCUAAGAAGAGCCAGCGUUCAGCACCGUGGAUUCACUGCUGGCACAGAAGUACCGCGCUGAGUCCCCUGCCUGAGUGGAGUUGAUUUCCAGGCUGCAGGGGUCACAUCUCGUCCUUCCUCUUUGAGCAUGUAUCUUGGGGUCUGUGUGAUUCCACCAUCCACGGUGCCUGUGGAAGAAAGGGAGCCGCUCUGGAAACAAGGCCCCGGAGGGCGUCUCAGGGCCGCUGCUGUCGGGGAGAGGCUUAGAUCUGGAGCUCAGCACCUUAUGGGGCAGGAAUUUGCUCCCUGAAGCCACGACUCACCUGCUCCAAGGAGACAGAGGGCCACCCAGUAGAUCACCGGGCUGCCCAUAGUGGGAAGGGCGUCUCCCUCCAGCUCCAAGCCCAGACAAAUGAGGAAAGGAACUUAGCCCUGUGGCUCCCCCUUGGCUUAAUGGGCAGAAUUUGGCACACGGCUAGAAUGGACACUUGGAUAGGAUCCUGGAGAUAUUCCAGACCGUCUCCCCGGUUUGGCAGAUGAGGAGACUGAGAACGGAGCUCUGAAUCACUGGCACCGCCACCUUGUGUCUUCCUUCCCCAGACUCUGCACUUUGGCCCGAUUGUCGGCGCUGCCACAUUCCAGGCCCGAGCUUCACUCUGAUUGGCUCGCGGGUUCACCUUCCUCGUCAUGGUAACGUUUGCUCACUGGAGGAGGAGCACACAGAUGCUCUUGUCACACAAGAACGGAGAGCAUGUUUAACCCCCUCGCUGCCAGGUACUGCUCCAGGCCUGCAGCAGCGGAGGAAGAGGACUACCACCGCCUGGAAACCGCCCCCCUUCCUCAGCCUACGCGUUUUAUUGCUUUAGCUCGGCUCGUCAAGGGUUGAACAUUAGAGAAACGUUGAUUGUGCCCAAAUAGUUGACUAAGUCCCCUCAGGAAAGACCCCGUGGUCCCAAGUGGCUAUUACCUGUUGUAGAUGAGUUUGCUGUCAGCCCAGAAACCUUAGAAUAAGCAGGGAUGAGAAUGAUCAAGUGAAACUAACUGCUAACAACUGGAAGUUUUGCAGGAGCCCUGGGAUAGCAAGCAGAAAACAAAGACAUGCUUUGCUUUCCUUGAGGGCCAGGUGGCUCCGAGCAGCCCGCAACCCGCCUUCGCCGUUUAGUCUGAAAGCCCCCUCGGCCCACUUCUUCCUUGGAAUAAAAGCAGCCUGACUCCUACCCCGCAUUAAGGUGGUUCUUUAGGACGUUAGCCCGCCGUCUUCUCAGCGUGCUGGCUUUCUGAACAAAGUUGCUCCUCUUUGCCCCGACACCUCUCUUGACUUACUGGCCUGUGGAGCAGCGAGCGGUAAGAGCCUGACUCAUUAACAAACGUUGACAAGCCAGCCAGGAGUCUUGCUGCUCGAGGCCAGCUGGCCCCGGCUGGGAAAUCGUGCUGGGCAAGCCCCCAGCAGCUUCCAGGACCUCUUGUGCUGCAGGUCCUCCUUCAAAAGUCCUUGGAGCAGGGCCGGCCACCCCGGUGCUCAGCAGUUGGAGCAAAGACUUGCCAUUUGGGAGUCGAAGGACUGAAUGCAGAAAGGUCUGUCUCUCCAACUGAAGUCACCCUGCACCCUUUUCAACUAACCCAGGCACCUCAUCCUCCUUAAAAGCUGGAAAAAGCAAGGACCCAACCAUCCGCUGGCUGUGAAGUGGACCGGAGGGGGCCGUAUGAGGGCUUGCUGACCGCACAGUCAUCAGUUAAGCAGCUGGGGUUAAGCUGUGGCUUCGCCACACCUGUUAAAGGCAGCAUCCACAGCAGAGGGCCAAGGGGCGCCCUCUAGGGUGGAGGAAACUAACAGGCAGAGGACUCGAGAGCCUCUGAAUGAUUUAGAGUUUCUCUUCAAAAAAAAAACAAACAAAAAAAGGGCUGAGCUGAGGGAGGAUGGAGACUAGCAGAACGAAACUGCCACCACCAGGAUGAAGACAUGGUGAAGGACCUUGUAAUAAACGACCCCGCAGCCCGGCCGGGAGCUGGAGCUGUCCUGACCGGCUACUUGGCAGACGGCUCCCGACUCGAGUGUUUCGUUUUUCCCCCUCUCCAAGCAAUAAAAGCAGCUGUUUUUCAC